CACCUACACGCACAUACAUGAACACACGUGCACACACAUGCAUACAUUUAUCCAUACCUACACGCACAUACAUGAACACACGCACACAUAAGCAUACAUUUAUCCAUACCUGCAUGCACAUACAUGAACACAUGCACACACACGCAUACAUUUACCCACACCUACACGCACAUACAUGAACACAUGUACAUACACAUGCACGCGUGCAUGCAUGUGCACACAUAUAUAUGGACUUACACAGGCAUGCACAUAUGCAUGGUGCAUAUACAUACACUACAUACACACAUGCACACACGCAUAUAGCUGCAUACAUAUACACACAUGCACACAAUACACCCACGUAUACACACAUGCACGCGUGUGCAUAUGUACACCUGCAUACAUAUACACACAUGCACACAUGCACUAUAUACGUGCAUACAUAAAAACACAUGCACAUAUAUACACACAUAUACCCCUGAAUACAUGUACACACAUGUGUACAUGCAUAAUACACCUGCAAACAUAUACACACAUACAAAUGUGUAGCACAUACAUUGCUCCAAAU
rnacentral:lncRNA from 1 species